rnacentral:rRNA from 1 species
UACGUAGGGACCAAGCGUUGUUCGGAUUUACUGGGCGUAAAGGGCGCGUAGGCGGCAAUUCAAGUCAUCUGUGAAAUCUCCGGGCUCAACUCGGAACGGUCAGAUGAUACUGCUUUGCUAGAGUGCGGAAGGGGCAAUCGGAAUUCUCGGUGUAGCGGUGAAAUGCGUAGAUAUCGAGAGGAACACCUGAGGUGAAGACGGGUUGCUGGGCCGACACUGACGCUGAGUGCGCGAAAGCCAGGGGAGCAAACGGG